rnacentral:rRNA from 1 species
GACGAACGCUGGCGGCGUGCUUAACACAUGCAAGUCGAGCGGUAAGGCCCUUCGGGGUACACGAGCGGCGAACGGGUGAGUAACACGUGGGUGAUCUGCCUCGUACUUCGGGAUAAGCCUGGGAAACUGGGUCUAAUACCGGAUAUGACCGCAUGCUGCAUGGUGUGUGGUGGAAAGAUUUAUCGGUGCGAGAUGGGCCCGCGGCCUAUCAGCUUGUUGGUGGGGUAAUGGCCUACCAAGGCGACGACGGGUAGCCGACCUGAGGGGGUGACCGGCCACACUGGGACUGAGACACGGCCCAGACUCCUACGGGAGGCAGCAGUGGGGAAUAUUGCACAAUGGGCGGAAGCCUGAUGCAGCGACGCCGCGUGAGGGAUGACGGCCUUCGGGUUGUAAACCUCUUUCGACAGGGACGAAGCGGAAGUGGCGGUACCUGUAGAAGAAGCACCGGCCAACUACGUGCCAGCCGCCGCAGUAACAC